rnacentral:lncRNA from 1 species
CAUAUACAACUGUUGUACAUAGUUAGUCCAAUACGUAGACUUCAAUAUUUGUCGUAUAAAUUCAUUCAAAUCUUUAAAAAUCUGGAAAUCCAAGGUUUGACAAAACAACACUAAAAUUUUAGAAUAUAGAAAUCUAGCACCAAUUCUUGUAUAUUGAAACCGGCAUCGAAACCAUUGAAAGAAAAUGCACUUUUCUGGGUAGAAUUUCAGAAUUAACACCUGUACUAUAAUAGCUCGAAAAUUGGUUUUAAAACAAUGAAGAAUUCCAAUCUCAAAUCCUUAAUUUGAGUGUUUAGUAUCAUAUAAUCUCAAGAAACUCUACGAAUAUAUCUUUUAUCUCACAACCCAUUUCCAAAAUUCUACUUUUUCCAACUCCAAUUUUCAAAUAAACAUUUCCUUGCUAUAUUCUUAUUUAAAACCUUGAAUACACAUCAAUGACACCUAAUUCUUGCUAACUUCAAAGUUCUAGAGAUAAGUUCCAUAUACCUUAAAGGAGAUAAUUUCACAUUCUUAUACUUACCUCUCUAAAUUAAAGGGAGAAAAUGAGAAAUUGGGAACCUAACCUUAUAAAAUUGGAACCUAUCCCUUCCUUCCUUCCUUUUUUUUUUCUCUUCCAUUUCUUCUUUUUCCUUACAUCAUUUCGUUCUUUGCUUCUCCAUUCAGUUUUUCUA